CUGUGGACCCUGGUACCCCUGUGUGUUUUUUACUUUCUGCUGGAUGGGGGCCGAUGAGGGCAUUAUGGACCCUAACCAACCUCUCUCACGUCUCACCAGGCCCACUUGAACAGACCCACCGAUAAGGAAGAAAGCCACGCGUUUGACGUUGAGAGAGACAAAUGAACCAUUAUGA